GAUUUCAUAAUUUUUUCUUGGUGUCAGGCUAUCAGCAGCAUCGAGCAAUCUGUUUUUUUUUCUUGUUUGUGAAGCAAAUGUUUCCGACAAUAUGUUGUGAAAGAACUACUCACUUAAUCUUGUCUCUAAGUCAAACCUGUUUAAGUUUGACCAAGUUUAUAGGAAAAAAAACACAUCUACAAUAUUUAUGCAUGUGCCUAGUAUUGAUCCAUUGAUUCUCUGGAUUGAUAGGCCCUUUUUGUGGUGUACAGUAUUUCAAGAUGUUCAUGUAGUCCUAUGUCGUCUAAGCACACUUUGCAGCAAACUGGUGGAUGCUCUUAAGAGCAUGUACAGUACAGAGAAGCGUGGUAAGAGAGAAGUGAUGAGCAGGCCACAAUGGAAGGAUACAUUAGUUGGUGAAUCUGAGUAUGUCGAUGAUCACAGGUCUAGUAUGACAGAUGUGAAGCUGAAUGGAAGAUUGAACAAGUGUAGUGUCAUCAGUCCACGCUUGGACCUUGGAGAUCGAGUCCUGGAGUGCAAGGCUGCUCCCCUUACAUCAGCCGCAUGUCAGUUCGCCCUCGCCCGAGUCCUGGGAUGGAGGGAGUAGGCAUGGCAAGUGGGGAAGGCCAUGGGGCAGCAGCAGUAGUCCACACCGGUGAGACAGGUGCUCCGAUCGGUGUCAGCGACAACUCUGAAAAGACAUCACUCACAUAGGCGCAGGAGCUUCAGCUGUGCAGGACAUCGAUUUGCCCAUUGUGCCGCCCACAAGCUUCUUGAUGUCUCCAGCAUCCAUGACGCAUUCCAUGGCGACUACAAGCUGUUCGAUCCAAUGCUGCACCGCCACCGGUUGCCACCAUCUGAUCGUGCAAUCAUGGUAUCAUGGGACCUGAGUGGUGGAAGCUCCUUGUUGCCUUCGAGGUUUUGCCCACCAUCCCUUAUGCAUCGGCCGCUGUUUGAUGGGAGAAGAUGACUAGAGGCAGCGAAAGGAGGGAGAGGGAGGCGCUGAACAAUGUGGCAUAGGUUGAUGGUGAGGACAAUGAAGAGAAAGCGAGCAAUGUGAAGAGGAGGGUGACGAGGGGAGAAAACGAGAAGCUCCAUGUCAUUGCUCUCAAGAUGUGCUUGUCUAUGAAUUUCCGAGCUAUGUAUUAAAUUUGACAUGCAAUUCCACUAUGACUGAAAUAUGCAGGUAUUUGGUUAUUGUAAAUUUUAGUUGUGUUGUACAUAUCUUUAUUUUAGUAGUUCUGAUUAAGCUAUAUUAUUAGCGCCCCAUAAUCUUUAUCUACCUGCGUAUCUGUUAGAAUUGAAAUUGAUUUAUAAAAUAUCACAUCUCCAAUGUAAGUUAUUCAUAAUAUGGAAUUCCAUUGUUUAGAAUUUGAACCUUGUGUUCACAAAUAAAAUAUUGCCUAGAAUCAACUAAAUUUUGACCAAUAUUUUCCACAUAGCAGAAGCCACUUUGAGCUCCUCACCGUUUCAAGCUUUGAGCUCUUCUUCCUUUUGAUUUGUGUAAGAUACUUUGGAUCUUUGAUAUUCUGAACAUAAUAAUAUAUGGCUGUGUACGCAG